AUUGCACGUUCAAGUCCUAUUAUGUCUUGAAUGAUCGACACGGGGGGGGCUAUAUGAAAUCUCUCAUAAACCUGAAGUAUUGGCUUAAUAUUCCAUGCUUCGGAUCCUGUCGGGAGAAACAUUU
rnacentral:snoRNA from 1 species